rnacentral:misc_RNA from 1 species
AAUUAUUUUAUCUUGUUCGCGUCAGUAGAGAUAAAAUGUGAUAAAAUUCUGGUCAAUAGUCAUUCCUUAUAAUGUAAAAUUGCUUAUUCUAUAAUAAAAAUAUAUUUUGCUUUAAAAUUUUAAGUUAUUUCCCUAAUAUUGCACUGGCUCUAUUUUUUUUAGCGCCACUGUAUAAUAUAUAUGCGUUAAUGUAUAGAAAAAAAUAUGUUUUUACAGACAAUGUUGUAAAACUAUCAUUGAGAUUUUGUGCAAGGAUUUACAAAUAAUCCCAUCUUAAUAUAGCUCAAGAUGGAAUUCACAAGAGAUUAGAUGUGAGAAUUUGAAAUUCACAGAGGUUUAAAGUUCAAUCGAACUGUAAAGUACAAAUUGCGAAAUGUAUUUAAAUAGGAGAAAAUACAAUAUAGUCUCCCCUUGUGAUGUUCAAAGAAUAGACAACGAGACACAGUCUUCAAAAAAUUUGUUAAAUUAGAAUACGGUGGCUAUGAGAUAUAUAGAACUUACGCCGCUCUCGUGGCUUUAUUCGCUUGGAAGUUUUAGAUUGAUUUUCAUUUUCAUCUUCCGACGAGGAGCUCGACAUCAGUUUAUUAUUGGGUAUCACUUUUCUGCACCCUUUCCCAAGUUUGUCAUCGUCAGUAGUUAUAUAAUUUGCAUCCUCCGCAAUCUUUUGAACCUUUUCAAAAGACGCUAAAAAAAGUAUUUAUUACAAAUAAAAACUACAAAUAUCGUGUUUAUUCCUUUAUUCUAUAAUAAAGAAAUAUACGUACUGCAAAAUUUCUCGACAAUAACAGGCAGAUUAUCCCACGACUUUUUAUCUGAUUCAGACUUUUUCGCUAUUAGCGUACUGACGUUUUUACAAUUUGUCGGCCACUAUUAAGAUGGAAAAUCCAUUGAACUCGAGAAGUUUGAUCUUAUUUAUUGCAGACCUCGAAUAGGCUACGACUGGAUACGAUUUGCGGUAUUGAGUUUGAAUAGGUAAAUUUUCUUCUGCUAUACGAUUAAUGAUUUGAUGUAAUGGUCUUUGCGAAUUAUUAACCUGUUUCUUUAUUGCCCGCAAACAGUUUUCGAAUUUGAAUGCGCUGAAUUGAUCUAGCAACCAAAUCGAGUUACAUCAGAAGCGAGGUGCACUAGGAGACUAUGUACAUUAUGUGUAAUGUGUUCUGGGUCAUACAAUUCUCCGUAAUGCAAAACGAUCUAGCACAAUAGAGAUUGAGCAUAAUCAUUUAUAACUAAACACAAUUUAUAAUCAGCUAAAAUACGGAUUGCUAUGCUUAAUGAAAGAAAAUGAUUAUACGAAUCUUUUUGCAAAACUAAUUUCAAAAUCAUGGGGCCGGUAUAAAGAAGAAAUUAACGGAGCUCAGUGGCCUUCCAUCUAUUGAUAUUAUUAAGACUUCUCGAUUUCCUGCAUAAUUCUUUAGUUAUGAAGCAUUUCAUUGAUUGUAAAAUUUCUGAUGCAGCCUGCAGCUGUUUCUUAGUAAAUCGAACAUUUUUAGUGCCUCUAAUCCAGAAUUGAAGAAGACGUUUGGUAACUCCCAAGCAUACAACAUGCAUAUUAUCUAAAGCAAUUUGGAAAACCAUACCUAUAUUUGACUUAGAAAAUCUGAGAUACCUACAUAAUGCUCAGGCUGUUGUUGAUGUAUAAAGGAAUAAUCGGUCCUUAAUUCGCUAUCUCCUUCUUAAAUACAUUUAGAGCAUCCAAAAUACUCAUUGUGACCUUUCGUAUAAGUGAGAAACGACUUUGCAGGUGUAUCGCAAACAAUUGCCUUAAUACUUACACGACACUAUUAAACUCAAUGCCGUUUGUAAGAAUUUCCUUCGCGUCAAUGACAAAUUUUUUCAGAUAUAUAUUAGCAUCAUUAGGUUUCUUGUCGCCAUGGUAUAUGCCAACAACAAUAGGCUCAGUGUAGAAAUCCAUUUUAAUUGAUACUAAAAUUGGCCAAAAUUAAGCUCGCAAACUUUUAAACAGAAGUAAACCGUCACAGUUUAUAUUUAUUUCUAUUUUAGAUGGCACAUCUGGAAAAUAUUUUGCAAUUGAACGUUUCAGUCCAUCUGUUAGUUUGAAAUGCGCUUAACCAUCAUUGGCUGAAUAUUAUCCGACGCACUUCGAGAUGUUUUCAUAAGACUUCAAACAUCUAUUGGUAAAUUACUAUAACCAUGCAAACUACGGAGGAAAAAUUUGAACUUGCGUACAGGAAAAAGGUUAUACAUGAUAAAAACGGAGUUGAAAUAACGUGUAUUGCUGAAGGACUUCAUCCUCAACCAACUUUAAACAUUUUCGUUGAAAAUAUUCCGGAGAGGCAAACUGGGAAUCCUACCAUAACACUACGUGACGAUGGGCUGUAUAAUAUCUUAUUACGAGUCACUUUACUGGAUGAAGAUUUACCAGAAACGGCAAUUGUUAAAUGUUUGCUCAUCAUAUCAAAAGCAUCAUAUAAUGUUUCCCGCAAAACUGUUUAUUAUGCUGGAACGUUUACUACUACGUCAACUACUACAACGAAGUUACAUCGUAAGAUGGAGAUCCAAACUUUAGACAAGUCAGAAACUAAUAAUGAUGAUAAUUCUGCUAGCUACGUGUCAAUUAAUCUUCUAUUGUUAUCAAUAGAAUUAGCCGUUCUCAGAGCAUUUCAUCAAGAACUUAACUGGGUGAACAAUACGCUACAUUCCUCGAGGAGGCGCUUCCAGAUUUGUUGGACGACGUUCCUCUUGCAGCUCGACCUCGUUGGUUCCAGCAAGAUGGAGCACCACCGCAUAAUAUUCGGCGUGUAAGAGAGUAUCUUAACGCUCAGUUUCCUGGACGUUGGUUUGGUGCUGGCGGUCCGCUCCGCAGAGGUUACUGGCCUCCACAUUCUCCUGAUCUUUCACCCUUAGACUUCUUCCUUUGGGGUUACCUAAAAGAAAAAGUUUAUGCGAAGCAGCCAGAAAACGUGGAGGAAGUGGUUGCUCGAUUGCAUGCUGCAGUAGCAACGGUGGAUGCCGAAAUGCUUCUUCAUGUAAGGAACAAAGCCGUCCGGAGAGCCCAUGCUUGCCUAGAAGCCAACGGGGAACAAUUUGAGCGCACCUCCUAAAUAAAUCGGCUCUUUUCAGAGCCACUUAAUAGAUAACAAUCGGUCCUUUUUAGGGCCACAAAAACCUAAAACGUGGAACAAAUCUUAGCCGCAAUUUACGUAAAAAUGUUUUACUUUUAAAUAAAAAAAAAUUUUAAUUUCUUUUACUCCUUCCUCUCC